AACUAAGAGAUUAGGUGUUCCCUUCGGGGACAGAAUGACAGGUGGUGCAUGGUCGUCGUCAGCUCGUGUCGUGAGAUGUUGGGUUAAGUCCCGCAACGAGCGCAACCCUUAUUGUUAGUUGCCAGCAUUAAGUUGGGCACUCUGGUGAGACUGCCGGUGACAAACCGGAGGAAGGUGGGGAUGACGUCAAAUCAUCAUGCCCCUUAUGACCUGGGCUACACACGUGCUACAAUGGAUGGUACAACGAGUUGCGAACUCGCGAGAGUAAGCUAAUCUCUUAAAGCCAUUCUCAGUUCGGAUUGUAGGCUGCAACUCGCCUACAUGAAGUCGGAAUCGCUAGUAAUCGCGGAUUAGCAUGCCCCGGUGAAAACGUUCCCGGGUCUUGUACACACCGAAUCGAAUUUCCGCGGGCCCCAUGUCGGCCCGGAA
rnacentral:rRNA from 1 species